rnacentral:rRNA from 1 species
CAGCAGCCACGGGAAUACGUAGGUGGCAAGCGUUGUCCGGAAUUAUUGGGCGUAAAGCGCGCGCAGGCGGAUCAGUCAGUCUGUCUUAAAAGUUCGGGGCUUAACCCCGUGAGGGGAUGGAAACUGCUGAUCUAGAGUAUCGGAGAGGAAAGUGGAAUUCCUAGUGUAGCGGUGAAAUGCGUAGAUAUUAGGAAGAACACCAGUGGCGAAGGCGACUUUCUGGACGAAAACUGACGCUGAGGCGCGAAAGCCAGGGGAGCGAACGGGAUUAGAGACCCCCGUAGUCCCGUCUCUUAUACAC